rnacentral:lncRNA from 1 species
CCUGGCUUUAGGUGUCCGUUGAGUCAUCCUCAUUUCUAUACCCCCGCAUCCCUCGGACCAGCUUGGGUUAGCCUCAAAACCUUCUCCACUUCCGCGGCCCCGUUUGUAGACUACGCUGGUCUCCCUUCGUUGCAGAUAUGGACGUGGAUGCGGCUCUGAUGUUCGCCCAGAGCCUGAAAGCCCACGAGCGGGAAGACGCUACAACUUCUGGGUUGGCAAAGAAGGUGAGGGUAGAAGAGAC